GACGAACGCUGGCGGCGUGGCUAAUACAUGCAAGUUGAGCGCUGAAGGUUGGUACUUGUACCGACUGGAUGAGCAGCGAACGGGUGAGUAACGCGUGGGGAAUCUGCCUUUGAGCGGGGGACAACAUUUGGAAACGAAUGCUAAUACCGCAUAAAAACUUUAAACACAAGUUUUAUGUUUGAAAGAUGCAAUUGCAUCACUCAAAGAUGAUCCCGCGUUGUAUUAGCUAGUUGGUGAGGUAAAGGCUCACCAAGGCGAUGAUACAUAGCCGACCUGAGAGGGUGAUCGGCCACAUUGGGACUGAGACACGGCCCAAACUCCUACGGGAGGCAGCAGUAGGGAAUCUUCGGCAAUAGACGAAAGUCUGACCGAGCAACGCCGCGGGAGUGAAGAAGGUUUUCGGAUCGGAAAACUCUGUUGGUGGAGAAGAACGUUGGUGAGAGUGGAAAGCUCAUCAAGUGACGGUAACUACCCAGAAAGGGACGGCUAACUACGUG
rnacentral:rRNA from 1 species